UACGUAGGGUGCAGGCGUUAAUCGGAAUUACUGGGCGUAAAGCGUGCGCAGGCGGUUUGCUAAGACCGGUGUGAAAUCCCCGGGCUUAACCUGGGAACUGCGCUUGUAACUGGCAAGCUGGAGUGUGGCAGAGGGGGGUGGAAUUCCACGUGUAGCAGUGAAAUGCGUAGAGAUGUGGAGGAACACCGAUGGCGAAGGCAGCCACCUGGGCUAACACUGACGCUCAUGCACGAAAGCGUGGGGAGCAAACAGG
rnacentral:rRNA from 1 species